rnacentral:rRNA from 1 species
GAUAAACGCUGGCGGCGUGCCUAACACAUGCAAGUCGAACGCCCUACGCUUGCGUAGGGAGUGGCGGACGGGUGAGGAACACGUGGGUCAUCUACCCAGAGGUGAGGAAUACCGGCGAGAAAUCGCCGACAAUACCGCAUACGUUCUGAAAAGAACAAAGUCGCAAGACGCCUUUGGAUGAGCCUGCGCCCGAUUAGUUAGUUGGUGGGGUAAAAGCCUACCAAGACUGCAAUCGGUAGCNGGUCUGAGAGGACGAUCAGCCACACUGGGAUUGAGAACGGCCCAGACUCCUACGGGGGCAGCAGUGAGGAAUAUUGCGCAAUGGACGAAAGUCUGACGCAGCGACGCCGCGUGUGGGAUGACGGUCUUCGGAUUGUAAACCAC